AUGAAUGCACUGGACUUCUUGAGAUCGAAGCCACCAACGGCAUAUGCCAAGGGCGUCCAUGGACAACCUGCCCAAGGUCUGGAUUCACCGAGGAGGUACAACCGGACACUUGGUCGGCUGCCUGCUGAAAGGGGGAGGAGUGAAAAACAAACUGAGGCGGGCGGAGGUAAGCGGCGGUGCAGUCCCCCCGUGGCUUCUUCGUGGCGAGGGCUCAAGGAUUGGGAAGGAGAAGAGGAGGCGGCGGAUUGGGGAGGAGGAGGCGGGGAUUGGGAGAAGAGGAGGCAGGGGAUUGGAGAGGGGGCUCUUGUUGAAUAUACUGUUUUGCGCAGAUUGAGAUGCAUCACAUGA
rnacentral:rRNA from 1 species